GUGAUAUGGUCAAGCGAAUAAGCGCACACGGUGGAUGCCUUGGCGGUCAGAGGCGAUGAAGGACGUGGCAGCCUGCGAAAAGUGUCGGGGAGCUGGCAACAAGCUUUGAUCCGGCAAUGUCCGAAUGGGGAAACCCACCCGCAAGGGUAUUGCAUGGUGAAUACAUAGCCAUGCAAGGCGAACCCGGGGAACUGAAAUAUCUAAGUACCCGGAGGAAAAGAAAUCAACCGAGAUUCCGUCAGUAGCGACGAGCGAACGCGGAGCAGCCCAAAAGUCCGUACGGUUUUAGCAGAACACGCUGGGAAGCGUGGCCGUAGAUGGUGACAGCCCUGUAUGCGAAAGGGCCGUACGGAUGAAAUUGAGUAGGGCGGGGCACGUGAAACCCUGUCUGAACAUGGGGGGACCAUCCUCCAAGGCUAAAUACUCCUGACCGACCGAUAGUGAACCAGUACCGUGAGGGAAAGGCGAAA
rnacentral:rRNA from 1 species